rnacentral:rRNA from 1 species
CUCAGGACGAACGCUGGCGGCGUGCCUAAUACAUGCAAGUCGAACGAACUCUGGUAUUGAUUGGUGCUUGCAUCAUGAUUUACAUCUGAGUGAGUGGCGAACUGGUGAGUAACACGUGUGAAACCUGCCCAGAAGCGCGGGAUAACACCUGGAAACAGAUGCUAAUACCGCAUAACAACUUGGACCGCAUGGUCCGAGCUUGAAAGAUGGCUUCGGCUAUCACUUUUGGAUGGUCUCGCGGCGUAUUAGCUAGAUGGUGGGGUAACGGCUCACCAUGGCAAUGAUACGUAGCCGACCUGAGAGGGUAAUCGGCCACAUUGGGACUGAGACACGGCCCAAACUCCUACGGGAGGCAGCAGUAGGGAAUCUUCCACAAUGGACGAAAGUCUGAUGGAGCAACGCCGCGUGAGUGAAGAAGGGUUUCGGCUCGUAAAACUCUGUUGUUAAAGAAGAACAUAUCUGAGAGUAACUGUUCAGGUAUUGACGGUAUUUAACCAGAAAGCCACGGCUAACUACGUGCCAGCAGCCGCGGUAAUACGUAGGUGGCAAGCGUUGUCCGGAUUUAUUGGGCGUAAAGCGAGCGCAGGCGGUUUUUUAAGUCUGAUGUGAAAACCUUCGGCUCAACCGAAGAAGUGCAUCGGAAACUGGGAAACUUGAGUGCAGAAGAGGACAGUGGAACUCCAUGUGUAGCGGUGAAAUGCGUAGAUAUAUGGAAGAACACCAGUGGCGAAGGCGGCUGUCUGGUCUGUAACUGACGCUGAGGCUCGAAAGUAUGGGUAGCAAACAGGAUUAGAUACCCUGGUAGUCCAUACCGUAAACGAUGAAUGCUAAGUGUUGGAGGGUUUCCGCCCUUCAGUGCUGCAGCUAACGCAUUA